GACGAACGCUGGCGGCGUGCUUAACACAUGCAAGUCGAACGGAAAGGCCCUGCUUUUGUGGGGUGCUCGAGUGGCGAACGGGUGAGUAACACGUGAGUAACCUGCCCUUGACUUUGGGAUAACUUCAGGAAACUGGGGCUAAUACCGGAUAGGAGCUCCUGCUGCAUGGUGGGGGUUGGAAAGUUUCGGCGGUUGGGGAUGGACUCGCGGCUUAUCAGCUUGUUGGUGGGGUAGUGGCUUACCAAGGCUUUGACGGGUAGCCGGCCUGAGAGGGUGACCGGCCACCUUGGGACUGAGAUACGGCCCAGACUCCUACGGGAGGCAGCAGUGGGGAAUAUUGCACAAUGGGCGGAAGCCUGAUGCAGCAACGCCGCGUGCGGGAUGACGGCCUUCGGGUUGUAAACCGCUUUCGCCUGUGACGAAGCGUGGGUGACGGUAAUGGGUAAAGAAGCACCGGCUAACUACGUG
rnacentral:rRNA from 1 species